rnacentral:antisense_RNA from 1 species
CUUGAUCGAGCCGAGCCGCACCGGAUCAUCGGCGGUCCGCCCCGCCCCGUAGGUCGCCUGCAGGGCCUGGAUCUC